rnacentral:misc_RNA from 1 species
GAUGAAGAACGUAGCGAAAUGCGAUAAGUAAUGUGAAUUGCAGAAUUCAGUGAAUCAUCGAAUCUUUGAACGCACAUUGCGCCCGCCAGUAUUCUGGCGGGCAUGCCUGUUCGAGCGUCAUUUCAACCAUCAAGCCCCCGGGCCUGUGUUGGGGACCUGCGGCUGCCCGCAGGCCCCGAAAACCAGUGGCGGGCUCGCUGUCACCCCGAGCGUAGUAGCAACACCUCGCCCAGGGAGUGCCGCGGGCACCGGCCGUAAAACCUCCUCUCGCCCCCCCCCCGCGGGAGGGAACACCCCAAAGGUUGACCUCGGAUCAGGUAGGAAGACCCGCUGAACUUAAGCAUAUCAAUAAGCGGAGG